ensembl:lncRNA
UGAGGUGAGUUAAAUACUUUAAUAUGAAUGAAACUCAAUUUGGAUGCAAUAAUACAGCAUGACCAGAGAUAUACAUGAAGACAACCAUUGUUUUGUGCAUACUAUUCACCAGGACUACUUUCAGUGGCAAUUUUAGUAUGUCAAUCUUGGUGAGGCAAACAUGUUAUUUUAUAUGCAUGCCAGCGAAGACACGACAAAACUCUAAACAAUACAUGAAAUGUACAACACUACACCAAACGUGAUCACGACACGCAGGUUAAAAUAUCAAAACAAACUCUGAACCAAUGACAUUAAAUUUGGGGACAGGUCGAAAAGCAUUAAACAUGUAUGGCAAUUUAGCUAGUUAGCUUGCUAGCUCAUUUGUCCUAUUUAGCUAGCUUGCUGUUGCUAGCAAAUUUGUCCUGGGAUAUAAACAUUGAGUUGUUAUUUUACCUGAAAUGCACAACGUCCCCUACUCCGACCAUUAAUCCACAUAUAUAAUGGUCAACCGAAUCAUUUCAUUUGAUCUCUCCUCCUUCCAGGAGGAUGCAUAGCUCUCGACCUUCGUCUCUCCUGAGUCCGUACGGGAGUUGCAGCGAUGAGACAAGACUAACUACCAAUUGGAUUUCACAAAAUUGGGUAAAAAAUAAAAUAAAAUAGAAAGGACUUCUAUUUUAGCCCUUGGCAACGCAGGCGCUCAUUGACGCGCACCAGCAGUGUGGGUGCAAUAAAUUAAUAACAUAGAUUUCUAAAUGUAUUUUUGCAAGCUGUGUAGUCAGGGUAGGGUAAAACUCUAAAAUUCAAGCCCCUUGGGUGCUGCCAUAGAGUUACAUUUGAAGUGCCCAUCCAAUAAGGUUCGAGGUCAUUGGCCACAGAUAUGUGAUCUGACGUAAUUUCAUCUAAAGUAGCUUUGAUUGGACAGAUCAUGUCAUCAACAUACUUUCAAAAUCUUAGCUAGCAGUCAUCAUUAUGAAUCAAGUCGACAAUCUACUGGCAAAUCCUAACGGCAAGCAUUGCAAAGCAAUCACUAGCCUGCUAUUCAGUGGAGUGGCUAUCUGGUCCCAAGUCUGGGAUUAAGGGUGUCUUUUCCAAGCUUAAAAUUAUAAAACAUUCAACAUUGGCAUGCUUCAUUGACAGCGUGGCCAUAGUUUGUACAUCUCAAUUGAGUUUAAAUGUAUUUGGCUAAGGUGUACAUAAACUUCUGACUUCAACUGUACAGGCAUGUAAUACAAAGAGCUGUUUGUAGCUGGUUAUAAUAAAAGCAUAGGAAAUUCACAUUUGUUUUGGCUUCGGUUUUGAGGCUUUAGCUGAUAUACAUUAUGGUUAUUUGCUGAAUAUAUUUUAUGUCACUUUUAUCAACUUAUGUGACGCUGAUAAUUUCCACUUUUUUUAACUUUGACAAAAUGUUGUAUUUACAAUGAAAAACCUCUAGGAGGCAUUUGUUCGACAGGGGAGUUUUCAGCUCAGAGAACAAAUGCAUCAAUAAACAAAGCCUUCAAAUAAAUCACACACGAGAUUCAGUUCUUCUUUAAGACUCAGGGGUCCAAUCAGCAACAGUUGGAGCAAAGCACCUUUCAUGACAAAGAGGAAGUCAAAUAAUGAGAAGGUCUCAGAGAGAAAACAUGACAUUAUUCUUGAUUUCAGAUUCUAUAAGAAUCAUAAAAAGGACAAACUAAUACAUUUAACAUUUACAUAAAAAACAACAUGCACGAUGGGCUUCGUUUUGAAGAUGUCUUGACUGGACAAACUUGAGGUUGAUUAUCUGCACCAUACUUGUGAUUGAAAAUGUUCAAAUUUAACCAUUUAAACUGACAAGCUACCCUGUUUCCCCAUGAAUUCCUUCAUUUAUUUUGAAUGGGGAUUACCGCUUUAGUUACAGUAUAGGGGAACACACAACAUCUUGCAGCAGUCAGUCUUCAUACAUGCCAAUGGACCAACGGUCACAGAAUUUGCUGAAAAAAGAAGGCAUGCCAUUGGCAGUGACCAGCACUGUCUGACAUGUAGUUUGGAGCACGCCCAUCUCACGACACCAUGCCACUACACUCUUCCAGCAUGGCCAUAGAAAAGAAAGGUGGGCUGGGGUCUUGUUGAUAUUCUUAAUCUGAGAGAUGCUCCUUCCUCUCCCACCUUUAAUAUUGUUUCUAUGCCCUUAAAACACAGAGCAACAUGGGAUUCCCAGAACAACCCAGGCACAAAUUCACAACUGUCGCAGUGAACAGGUAGAAUAAAGACAAACAGGAAUCACAUUAAUAACAUGCCAUCCUGUCACAAGGUGGCUAUGGAUGGUACCUUGAUUAGGGGUGUAAAAGUUCACAGAACCUGGUUUUUGUGGUCGAGCUACGGUUCGGAUUUGGUACAGCAGUUAAUUUUUGUUUAUUUAAGAAAAUACAAAAUGUGGGUAUCAGGAAUACCCACACUUUAUAUUUUCUUAAAUGAAAACACAUGAUUACUCAACACUAAAAUAAAGUGCAAUAUGUGUUUGAAAUCAACAUGUAAACAUGGCUCAGACAUUAUAGAAGCCUAUGCUAUAAGGUUUUCUUACAAAGAGAAAAAUAUGUGCACUUGUGUGACUCUCAUAAAGGGGGCAUGUCUAUAGCGCGGUACUUUUCAUUUCCCAGUUGAGGGAAAUGUGAAGGGCUGUCACUUAAGUAGCUCUACGUCACCCUAGGAGGUCCAUCCAUCUGUAGCACAACAGGGUGCAUUGGCCUAUUUAUUGACAACUUCUGUUUCAGCUUGCUUAUAUAGAGUGGGUACUACCCAUCUGCUGAAAUGGGUGCGAGUGGGUGAAGUUCGUAACGUGGCUCGAGCACUUUCAAGAAGUGCUGAAACGCCUUAUUCUUCUCAACCACAGAGAAUGGGCGCAUUACCAUGGCAAUAAACAUACCUAUCGCUCUUGUCAUUUGUUUAUUUUGGCCCGGUCAGAAUCAGCUGCGAAGGGCUGCUUGAAUGCAGCGGGGAGACGACGUUGCGUUGUUUUUUUGAGUUGCCGUCUUGUUCUGGUGGUAGGAAUACUGGCAUGAUGUCGGAGUAACUGUGUCAACAUGUUGAGGUGUUGGCAGCUGCAUAGGCUAUUCUCUUCCAGCACUGGCAAUAUACUCUGUGUCCAUCCUCGCAAUAAUCUUACUGGGAAGCCAAAAUGUUCCCAAACUGGUGAUGGAGAAUCCUCUUGGUUAAUCGACCCCACCACUCGCCAUUGGACAAAACUAUUUCCUGGCUGCGCCUCACAAAAAGGACAGUUAGAAAGCCGUCAAUUAAGAUUCAAAUUGUAAUUACAACGUGCACAUUCUGUAGUCUCUAGUUGUUUUAACGGGAUAGCCUGAAAUGUUUUUGUUGUUGCUCAGAUGCAGCCUAUAGGCCUAGUGAAAUAUCCAUGUACAGUACGCGUCAAAAGUUUGGACACCUACUCAUUCCAGGGUUUCUUGAUUUUUACUAUUUUCUACAUUGUAGAAUAAAAACUAUGAAAUAACAGAUAUGGAAUCAAGUAGUAACCAAACAAGUGUUAGAAGAAUAUAACAUAUUUUGAUUUAAGUAGCCACCCUUUGCCUUGAUGACAGCUUUGCACAUUCUUGGCAUUCUCAACCACCUUCAUGAGAAAUGCUUUUCAACAGUCUUGCAGGAGUUCUCACAUAUGCUGAGCACUUGUUGGCUGCUUUUCCUUCACUCUGCGGUCCAACUAAUCUCAAACCAUCUCAAUUGGGUUUAGGUCGGGUGAUUCCAUCACUCUCCUUCUUGGUAAAAUAGCCCUUACACAGCCUGGAGGUGUGUUCAGGUGGUGAGGUGUGUCCAGGUGGUGAGGGUAGGCAACAACAUCUCCUCCCCGCUGAUCCUCAACACUGGGGCCCCACAAGGGUGCGUUCUGAGCCCC